UACCAGCUUGUUGGCGGGGUAACGGCCCACCAAGGCGGUGACGGGUAGCUGGUCUGAGAGGAUGGCCAGCCACAUUGGGACUGAGAGACGGCCCAGACUCCUACGGGAGGCAGCAGUGGGGAAUCUUGCGCAAUGGCCUAACGGCUGACGCAGCGACGCCGCGUGUGGGAGGACGCCCUUCGGGGUGUAAACCACUGUUGCCCGGGACGAAUGCCCCCUUGGGGGGAGUGACGGUACCGGGUGAGGAAGCACCGGCUAACUCCGUGCCAGCAGCCGCGGUAAUACGGAGGGUGCGAGCGUUGUCCGGAAUCACUGGGCGUAAAGGGCGCGUAGGCGGCUUGACAAGCGUGUGGUGAAAGCCCGGGGCUCAACCCCGGGUCGGCCGUGCGGACUGUCGAGCUGGAGCACUGUAGAGGCGGGUGGAAUUCCGGGUGUAGCGGUGGAAUGCGUAGAGAUCCGGAAGAACACCGGUGGCGAAGGCGGCCCGCUGGGCAGUAGCUGACGCUGAGGCGCGACAGCGUGGGGAGCAAACAGGAUUAGAUACCCUGGUAGUCCACGCCGUAAACGAUGGGCACUAGGUGCUUGGGGGAGCGACCCUCCGAGUGCCGGCGCUAACGC
rnacentral:rRNA from 1 species